GGAUAACAUACCGAAAGGUAUGCUAAUACGGGAUAAUAUAUUUGAGAGGCAUCUCUUAAAUAUCAAAGGUGAGCCAGUACAGGAUGGACCCGCGUCUGAUUAGCUAGUUGGUAAGGUAACGGCUUACCAAGGCGACGAUCAGUAGCCGACCUGAGAGGGUGAUCGGCCACAUUGGAACUGAGACACGGUCCAAACUCCUACGGGAGGCAGCAGUGGGGAAUAUUGCACAAUGGGCGAAAGCCUGAUGCAGCAACGCCGCGUGAGUGAUGAGGGCCUUCGGGUCGUAAAACUCUGUCCUCAAGGAAGAUAAUGACGGUACUUGAGGAGGAAGCCCCGGCUAACUACGUGCCAGCAGCCGCGGUAAUACGUAGGGGGCUAGCGUUAUCCGGAUUUACUGGGCGUAAAGGGUGCGUAGGCGGUCUUUCAAGUCAGAAGUGAAAGGCUACGGCUCAACCGUAGUAAGCUCUUGAAACUGGGAGACUUGAGUGCAGGAGAGGAGAGUGGAAUUCCUAGUGUAGCGGUGAAAUGCGUAGAUAUUAGGAGGAACACCAGUUGCGAAGGCGGCUCUCUGGACUGUAACUGACGCUGAGGCACGAAAGCGUGGGGAGCAAACAGGAUUAGAUACCCUGGUAGUCCACGCUGUAAACGAUGAAUACUAGGUGUCGGGGGUUACCCCCUUCGGUGCCGCAG
rnacentral:rRNA from 1 species